rnacentral:rRNA from 1 species
AGUGAACGCUGGCGGUAGGCCUAACACAUGCAAGUCGAACGGCAGCACAGUAAGAGCUUGCUCUUACGGGUGGCGAGUGGCGGACGGGUGAGGAAUACAUCGGAAUCUACUUUUUCGUGGGGGAUAACGUAGGGAAACUUACGCUAAUACCGCAUACGACCUACGGGUGAAAGCAGGGGAUCUUCGGACCUUGCGCGAUUGAAUGAGCUGAUGUCGGAUUAGCUAGUUGGCGGGGUAAAGGCCCACCAAGGCGACGAUCCGUAGCUGGUCUGAGAGGAUGAUCAGCCACACUGGAACUGAGACACGGUCCAGACUCCUACGGGAGGCAGCAGUGGGGAAUAUUCGACAAUGGGCGCAAGCCUGAUCCAGCCAUACCGCGUGGGUGAAGAAGGCCUUCGGGUUGUAAAGCCCUUUUGUUGGGAAAGAAAAGCAGCAGGUUAAUACCCCGCUGUUCUGACGGUACCCAAAGAAUAAGCACCGGCUAACUUCGUG